CAGUCGCCGCGGGAAUACGGAGGGUGCAAGCGUUAUCCGGAUUCACUGGGUUUAAAGGGUGCGUAGGCGGGCAGGUAAGUCAGUGGUAAGAUCUUCGAGCUUAACUCGGAAACUGCCGUUGAUACUAUCUGUCUUGAAUAACGUUGAGGUGAGCGGAAUAUGUCAUGUAGCGGUGAAAUGCUUAGAUAUGACAUAGAACACCGAUUGCGAAGGCAGCUCACUAAACGCUCAUUGACGCUGAGGCACGAAAGCGUGGGGAUCAAACAGGAUUAGAUACCCCAGUAGUCCCUGUCUCUUAUAC
rnacentral:rRNA from 1 species